rnacentral:rRNA from 1 species
GACGAACGCUGGCGGCGUGCUUAACACAUGCAAGUCGAACGGAAAGGCCCUGCUUUUGGGGGGCGCGCGAGUGGCGAACGGGUGAGUAACACGUGAGUAUCCUGCCCUUGACUUUGGAUAGCUUCAGGAAACUGGGGCUAAUACAGGACAGGAGCUCCUGACGACUGGGGGGGGUGGGAAAGUUUCGGCGGUUGGGGAUGGACUCGCCGCUUAUCAGCUUGUUGGUGGGGUAGGGGCUUGCCAAGGCUUGGACGGGAAGCCGGCCUGAGAGGGGGACCGGCCACAUUGCGACUGAGAUACGGCCCAGACUCCUACGGGAGGCAGCAGUGGGGAAUAUUGCACGAUGGGCGCAAGCCUGAUGCAGCAACGCCGCGUGCGGGAUGACGGCCUUCUGGUUGUAAACCGCUUUCGCCUGUGCCGAAGCGUGAGUGACGGUAAUGGAUAAAGAAGCACCGGCUAACUACGUG